UUGUUCUUUUUUCUUCUAUUUCUUUUAUCCAAGCCUGUCUGUCUCAACUCUCUCAAACACUCCCCUCUCAACUCUCAAACUCUCAUUGGCUGGCCCGUUUUGUAAUUUUAUACUGUCAUUGACCUUUUUAGCCAUCCUCAAAUAGCUACUGCCCAGUUGGGGUUUAAUCCAUAACCAUAAGCGUGGUCUGAUCUGAGAGUGCUGGGUUUUUUUUUUAUUGGAUUUGAGUGAGACUUCCUGUCAGAGUAUGGAAUCUUAUUGAGUUGUAGAAACUGCUGGUUAUGUACAUUCACAGAGCUACACUUGUACAACAUCACCUGGUUUGACUGGUACUAAACAGUCAUCUUUCUGUAACACCUCUGAAACACUAGAAUCAUUGGGAAUGGAUUCUGA